CCUACGGGUGGCAGCAGUGAGGAAUAUUGGUCAAUGGGCGUAAGCCUGAACCAGCCAAGUCGCGUGAGGGAUGAAGGUUCUAUGGAUCGUAAACCUCUUUUAUAAGGGAAUAAAGUGUGGGACGUGUCCUGUUUUGUAUGUACCUUAUGAAUAAGGAUCGGCUAACUCCGUGCCAGCAGCCGCGUUAAUACGGAGGCUCCGAGCGUUAUCCGGAUUUAUUGGGUUUAAAGGGUGCGUAGGCGGCCUUUUAAGUCAGCGGUGAAAGUCUGUGGCUCAACCAUAGAAUUGCCGUGAAAACUGGGAGGCUUGAGUAUGUUUGAGGCAGGCGGAAUGCGUGGUGUAGCGGUGAAAUGCUGAGAUAUCACGCAGAACCCCGAUUGCGAAGGCAGCCUGCCAAGCCAUGACUGACGCUGAUGCACGAAAGCGUGGGGAUCAAACAGGAUUAGAUACCCUUGUAGUC
rnacentral:rRNA from 1 species